AACGAACGCUGGCGGCAUGCCUAACACAUGCAAGUCGAACGAGACCUUCGGGUCUAGUGGCGCACGGGUGCGUAACGCGUGGGAACCUGCCCUUAGGUUCGGAAUAACUCCCCGAAAGGGGUGCUAAUACCGGAUAAUGUCUUCGGACCAAAGAUUUAUCGCCUUUGGAUGGGCCCGCGUUGGAUUAGCUAGUUGGUAGGGUAAAAGCCUACCAAGGCGACGAUCCAUAGCUGGUCUGAGAGGAUGAUCAGCCACACUGGGACUGAGACACGGCCCAGACUCCUACGGGAGGCAGCAGUGGGGAAUAUUGGACAAUGGGCGAAAGCCUGAUCCAGCAAUGCCGCGUGAGUGGUGAAGGCCUUAGGGUUGUAAAGCUCUUUUACCCGGGAUGAUAAUGGCAGUACCGGGAGAAUAAGCUCCGGCUAACUCCGUG
rnacentral:rRNA from 1 species